rnacentral:lncRNA from 1 species
CUCAAGCUUGAUCCCGACCUCCUCACAGGCCUCCAAUCAAAUGNCGAUUACUUACUCAAGCUUGAUCCCGACCUCCUCUCAGGCCUCCACAAUCAAAUGCCCUAGGUCUGUAUCUCGCCCCGCAUACCCAACACUCGCUCUCGUCGGCCUAUACUUUGCGCUGACAAACACUGCUGAAUCCCAACAGCUAAGCACCCUUACAUACUCAUCGAUCUCCCGGAGAAUUUUCUAAUUCUCCCCCACUAAAGCACUGACUAACUGCCACCGAUCGUCAUUAACGACCUCUCAGAACAAUCCUGCACAAAGAGAACAUUUACCCACUGACUGCUUCCCACAAGCGUAAGCAACCCUCAGCAAAACACAUCUCCUCCCUGAUCAAUCCGCUCAAAAGAAUCCGAUCUUUCAAUUAUCCACUCCACAACUGCAGAUGCUACCCGUCAUUCAACCCAGUGCCGCACCUCCACUAUCAACCCUCACGAACGAUGACCAACGGAAUUCCCAAGCAAUAACCCAUAACCAAACCCACAACCUGCCAAAAGUUAAACAUCGCAUCGAAAACCGCACAAGGCUACCGGUACCAAAACGCCAAACUAUAAUCAUACUAAACCAUCAAGGAACAACGAAUGCCAAGCGAAAACUUGAAGCACCAAUCCAUAACCCUGCCAAACCCGCGAAACCACGAAUACCGCAUCGAAAUCCACACCAGGCACCAGCACAAACGAUACGCCCCAAUCAACGCAAUCUACUCAAGACAUCAAGAGAGCAUCAUACCCG